UCUACAGAGUUUGGAGUUUUUCAAGAAACUUUAUGAAUAUCUUCUUUUAUUCUCACAACAUUCCUAUCAUCCUCAUUUUACAGAUGAGGGAUCUGAGGCAGCCAGAAGCUAAGUGACUUGUCCAGGGUCACACAGUUAAUAAGGGUCUUUGGAGGGAUUUGAAAUCUCUUCUUGACUUGAGGUCCAGUACCACGUAGCUGCUAAGCACUGAGGAUCCAAAGAAAAGCAAAAAUGCAAAAAACAGUCUCUGCCCUCAAGGAGCUUGUAUGAAAAACCUCCAGAUUCAUAGUAUCCUUCUCAGAAGACCAGGGCUGGGAAUGCUGUAUGGAGGGGACAGAAGUAGCCCACCAUUAUUCACAUCGGCCUCAUGCAGAGACUACCCUAAGGAAGCAAGGUCCCUUCCAUUCCUCAUCAGAAAACAGUGGAAUAAGCCCAGGCUUCAUGGUCAUUUUAUAGAUGAGGAAACUGAGGCAAAGGUCUUUUUGGAAGGAAAGUCUUUUUGUCUAAUCCCUUCAUUUUGUAGAGGGAUACUGAGGCUCAGAGAUGAAAUGACUUGCCCAAGGUCGCCUCAUUGGUGGCAGUAG
rnacentral:lncRNA from 1 species